UAGGGAAUCUUCGGCAAUGGACGAAAGUCUGACCGAGCAACGCCGCGUAAGUGAAGAAGGUUUUCGGAUCGUAAAACUCUGUUGUUAGAGAAGAACAAGGACGUUAGUAACUGAACGUCCCCUGACGGUAUCUAACCAGAAAGCCACGGCUAACUACGUGCCAGCAGCCGCGGCAAUACGUAGGUGGCAAGCGUUGUCCGGAUUUAUUGGGCGUAAAGCGAGCGCAGGCGGUUUCUUAAGUCUGAUGUGAAAGCCCCCGGCUCAACCGGGGAGGGGCAUUGGAAACUGGGAGACUUGAGUGCAGAAGAGGAGAGUGGAAUUCCAUGUGUAGCGGUGAAAUGCGUAGAUAUAUGGAGGAACACCAGUGGCGAAGGCGGCUCUCUGGUCUGUAACUGACGCUGAGGCUCGAAAGCGUGGGGAGCAAACAGG
rnacentral:rRNA from 1 species